rnacentral:rRNA from 1 species
CAGCAGCCACGGUAAUACGGAGGGUGCGAGCGUUAAUCGGAAUUACUGGGCGUAAAGCGUACGCAGGCGGUUUGUUAAGUCAGAUGUGAAAUCCCCGAGCUUAACUCGGGAACUGCAUUUGAAACUGGCAGGCUAGAGUCUCGUAGAGGGGGGUAGAAUUCCAGGUGUAGCGGUGAAAUGCGUAGAGAUCUGGAGGAAUACCGGUGGCGAAGGCGGCCCCCUGGACGAAGACUGACGCUCAGGUACGAAAGCGUGGGGAGCAAACAGGAUUAGAUACCCGCGUAGUCCCUGUCUCUUAUAC